rnacentral:rRNA from 1 species
AACGAACGCUGGCGGCGCGCCUAAUACAUGCAAGUCGAGCGAGAAGACGUAGCAAUACGUUUGUAAAGCGGCGAACGGGUGAGGAAUACAUGGGUAACCUACCCUCGAGUGGGGAAUAACUAGCCGAAAGGUUAGCUAAUACCGCGUACGCUCCUUGGACUUCGGUUCAGGGAGGAAAGCGAUACCGUGGGUAUCGCGCUCUUGGAUGGGCUCAUGUCCUAUCAGCUUGUUGGUGAGGUAACGGCUCACCAAGGCUUCGACGGGUAGCUGGUCUGAGAGGACGAUCAGCCACACUGGCACUGCGACACGGGCCGGACUCCUACGGGAGGCAGCAGUAAGGAAUAUUGCGCAAUGGGCGAAAGCCUGACGCAGCGACGCCGCGUGGGGAUGAAGGUCUUCGGAUUGUAAACCCCUUUCGGGAGGGAAGAUGGAAUGGGGUAACCCAUUCGGACGUACCUCCAGAAGCAGCCACGGCUAACUUCGUGCCAGCCGCCGCGGUAAU